CCCUGCCAUUUGUACACACCGCCCGUCGCUCCUACCGAUUUCGAGUGGUCCGGUGAGCCUUUUGGACUUGUGUUUACACAAGGAAAUCAAGCGAACCUUAUCACUUAGAGGAAGGACAAGUCGUAACA
rnacentral:rRNA from 1 species